AGGGCCGGUUGCACCACCCCUGUGGCUCUCUCCGCCAGUUAACGGCCGGAUGGGUCAAGGUCGGGCUGCAGCGACGCUGCCUCACUCCUUGCUGUGCUGCACUGCCAGCCCCACCCCUCACCGCCCUUGUCGCUGGGAGGGUGGCCCCUCGCUGCGGUCUCCGCAGCGCUGUUCAGCCUCUCCACUUGGGACGGACGGCAGCACAGUGCUGCAGGGCAGACCCAGGUGACCUGGCGUCUCCUCCCGAGUCAGCUCGGACAGAACGAGCAGGCGAUUUACUGUCGUGUUCAGUUUCCAGCAAGACAGCCUGUGCUGCAGAAACCAGCUUCAAAGGGAUAGAGCGACCCAGGGAAAAUGAUGAUCCGAAGGCUGAUGUGACAGGUCAUCGGAAGGACAGUUGGCAGUGGAGACACUGGCUUUCCCUAUGCCUGAGACACACGCAGGUCAGGGGCUUUCCAGGCUGCUGCAGGAACUGGAUUCCAAAACUGUCUUCAGUGGCCCCACUAUUAUGUGACUACCUUAGACAAAGCCCAGCUGAGCCUUUUUGGGAGAAAAAGCAUUCUGAAGCCACAGAGACCCUAAAACACUUCCUGGCAAAGGCCCUGGCCUUGGGGCAUCCCAGUAUUAUUUACCCUUUUAUUCUCUUUGCACGUGUAAACAGAGACGCUACACUAGGAGUUUUAACCCAGUGACAGUGCGGUUCCUACCGAGCAACCAGACGUCGCCACCAGGAGCCGGCUUCAGCAGCCAAGGACUGCUGCGUCCAACCACAGAAGGGACGGUCUCAGGUCACACUCUCACCAUCGCGGCCUCCCACUCCGUGAAGGCCUUUCUAAGCUCUCAUCACACACAUUACCCAAGCCCACUGCCUUCUCCUGAGGUGGUCUUGCUCUCACCAAAACUCUCCACAGGUGUAACAAACAGCCCAGCACCGGCUCCCAGAAAGCAGCAGACAAUGAAAACCCUUUGUCUUCUGGGACUGACCUUCAAGGAAGCCCGACGGACAAUUCUGAUUUUAGGUUACUCACUCACUGUGGUUCAUGUCUGAGAGAACCUCGUGGAGGGGCGGGCUGCACCAUUUGUUUCUCCCGUGCUGUCCCGGAAAACAGAGUUUUGUCUGAAAUCUCCUCCUUCAACAGGCUGAGGUAACAGGACUGAUAAGAACCUGCCAGUGUGCACAGGAAGUCUGCUGAUACUGACAGAUGCCACCGCCUUCUGGGGGCACAGGACGUCCAGCAUCCUGAGGGAGCCUGUUCACAACAGUGUUCAGCAUCCUGAGAGCCUGUUCACAACGGUAAACGUGAGCAGCGUUGCUGGAGGCGGCUCUGCCUCCAGGGCACUUGCUGCUGUGGUGGCAUCAAAGGCCCACUCUGCAGCAGUGACCACGUGGCCACGACCACACUGGCCUCCCAGCAGCUGUCCUGACAGGUGGCUCAGGGGCAGCACCCGAAGAAGGACCUGGACACACGGGGAAGGCUGAACUCAAGUCAAAGGCUGGGAAUACGCCCAGACAGGAGGCCUCUCCUUCUGCGUGAGCCUCGGUAUCCUCAUGAGCUACCUCACUGGCACCCAGGCACGAGACCUCCUGGCACCACGGGGCAGUGGAUGGACAACGCUGCAGCCGUCAGCUGGCAGAGUCCAGCUGGCCCGGCAGAGUCCGCGGGCUCGGCAGGGAGACGACAGGAAGGAGCUGUGCUCUGGGCCCAGCCUCCGCUGUGCAGGCGCGACCUCCCUGCGCCCACGUGCCUGCGUCUUGUCAUCACGGAAGAGCAUGACCAUCACAGACCUCGGUGCCAGUCUUGUGACUAGCAGGGAUGUCCUACCUUACCUUUCAGAGCAGCCUCCCAGGCUGUUCUCAGUGAGGCCCCCAAGUUUAAGACUCAGCUCACACCUCCGGUUGCGGGUUCUUCAGACGCCAGCAGCAGAGACCCUAAUGAAUGAGUAGUUUUACAUUUCUUAUGGCACAGAGUUUUACAGCCACAUUUCUAAUACAGUGCUGGAAACACGGCUACACAAAAAGACACUUCCCUGUGAUGGGUGGAACCCAGUCUCUCCAACUACGAGAGGAACACUAACACCUCCUUAAUUUUAAACAACUCACCUUAAGCCUACCUACACACGUUUGGUGCACUUAUGACAUUCCUGACUUGUUUCAAUGUUUCUGGGCUAUGUGGUUUGUAAGAGAUUUUUCAAAU
ensembl:lncRNA